rnacentral:lncRNA from 1 species
GUCAGUUGCUGCUGUGGCAUGGCAGUGUGUUGCUUCCGCUGCUGGGACAUUUGCGCUGGAUACCUCACUUGCUGGGGUAUGGUGGCCGGUUGCUUCUGCAGCUGGGGCUUUUGAGCUGGAUACACUGGUUGCUGGGGAAUGGUGGUCGGUUCGUUCUGCUGUGGUUCAGCGGCCGGUUGCUUCUGCAGCUGGGGCUUUUGAGCUGGAUACACUGGUUGCUGUGGAAUGGUGGUCGGUUCAAUUUGCUGCUGAGGUUCAGCGGCCGGUUGCUUCUGCAGCUGGGGCUUUUGAGCUGGAUACACUGGUUGCUGUGGAAUGGUGGUCGGUUGCUUCUGCGGCAUGGAGGCCAGAUGCUUCUGAGGCAUUUGAGCUGGAUACCACACUUGCUGGGAUACGGCAGUCAGUUGCUCCUGCGGUAGAGGCGUGGAGGCCGGUUGCUUCUGCUGCUGGGGAAAUUGAGCUGGAUGCCACUCUUGCUUAGUUAUGGCGGUCAGUUCCUUCUGCCUCCGAGUUGCAGCGGCUUGUAUCUUCUGGACCAUUUUAGCUGGAUACCACACAUCGUGAGUCUGCUGGGGCAUAGGGGCCUGUUGCUUCUGCGCCAGAUGCCACACUUGCUGAAGCAUGGUAGACGGUUGCUUAUGCUGCUGGGGCAUUUGAGCCAUUUGCCACAGUUGUUGGGGUAUGGCAGUCAGUUCCUUCUGCGCUAGAUGCAUAGGGGCUGGUUGCUUCUGCUCCUGGGGAAAUUGAUCUGAAUGCCACACUUGCUGAGGUGGCUGGGGCAUGGCGGUCGGUUCAAUUUGCUGCUGAAGUUCUGCGGCCGGUUGCUUCUGCAUCUGGGGCUUUUGAGCUGGAUACCACACUUGUUGAGGUAUGGCGGUAAGUUCCUUCCGCGGUAAAGGCAUUAGGGCUGGUUGCUUCUGCUGCUGGGGAAAUUGAGCUGGAUGCCACUCUUGCGUAGUUAUGGCGUUAAGUUCCUUAUGCCGCCGAGUUGCAGCGGCUUGUUGCUUCUGGACCAUUUUAGCUGGAUACCACACAUCGUGAGGCAUCUGGGGCAUGGUGGCCUGUUGCCGCACUUGCUGAAGCAUGGCAGCCAGUUGCUUAUGCUGCUGGGGCAUUUGAGCAUACUGCCACAGUUGUGGUGGAAUGGCAGUCAGUUCCUUCUGCGGUUGAUGCAUAGGGACAUGUUGCUUCUGGGGAAAUUGAGCUGGAUGCCACACUUGCUGAAGAAGCUGGGGCAUGGCGGACAGUUCCUUCUGCUGCUGAGGUUCAGUGGCUGGUUGCUUUUGUUGCUUGGGCAUUUGAGCUGGAUGCCACACUUGCUGGGGCAUGGUGGCCGGUUGCUUCUGCAGUGGAGGCAUUGGGGCUGGUUGCUUCUGCUGCAUUUGAGCUGGAUACCAUGCUUGCUGGGGCAUAGCGGUUGGUUGUUUCUGCAGUAUAGGAAUUGGAGCCAGUUGCUUCUGGGGCAUGGUGGUCAGUUCCUUCUGCUGCUGGGGAAUUUGUACUGGAUACCACACUUGCUGAGGUAGCUGGGGUAUGGAGGCCUGUUCCUUCUGAUGCUGAAGUUCAGUAGCUGGUUGCUUCUGGGGCAUUUGAGCUGGAUACAACACUGCUUGAGGCUGCUUAGGAUAACUGUCCGGUAGAGUCUGCUGUUGGGUCAUGGCGGCCGGUUGCUUUUCCUGCUGGGGCAUUUGAGCUGGAUACCACAUUUUCUGAGGUGCCUGGGGCAUGUGGACCAGUUGCUUUUGCAGGAUGACGGCCGGAUGCUUCUGUUGCUCUUCGGUCAGCUGCGCUUGCAUUUGAGCUGUUGGAGAGUUGUAAUUACCAUAUCCUUUAGACCUAAGUGAGCCGGCAUAGAGCCAUGCUGCAUCAGAACCUAGUGCAGGAUACCCAUCACCUAGGUUAGAAAAAGAGAAAAAUAGUAAAAUGCCAGCCUUUGAAGUUAUUGGAAAUUAAUGUGUAGAAACUCACUUGAUGUAGAACAGGUUAUCCCUCCAAUUAGCAGGCAACAAAGCCAAG